rnacentral:lncRNA from 1 species
UUUUUUUUUUUUUUUUUGGCCACACCUGAGGAAUGUGGAAGGUUCCUGGACCAAGAAUUGAACCCUCACCACAGCAGCAAUGCAGUAACAACUCAUUGGGCCACAAGAGAACUCCCAAGACCAGCUUAAUUUCUAUUCUAACUCCAGUCCUAUGCAGCUACAAACAGAAUGGGGCGGCGGGGGGGGGGGGGGGGUCAUGGUUCCUAAUCACCAAUUUCCUCAAAACCAUUUACUUCAAUUAUAUCAUUUUUUCUGAGAUUAAAAGGCAUUAUUUUUAGGAGUUCCCAUUGUAGCACAGUGGAAAUGAAUCUGACUACCACAACAGGAACUCCAAGACAAAUGUGUUUUUAUAAGUAAGUAUUGCAACCAUCAUCCCUCCCAGAAAUUAUUAAUUAUUAAUUUCUUUAACACCUUUAAGAAACUGACUCUUACACUUCAUGUAUAUAUUUGUGAAAACUGGUGCCAUAUCUGACAGUUCCUAGCACAUAACACAUAUAAAAACAAACAGAGCCAGUUAAUGAAAUGAGCAUUCCUUGCCCCAAUCAACAUUCUAAAUAGUAUGCUUAUUUAGAAAAAGUAUACUAUCAUUUUAAUACAAGCAAUGCCACCAUAUUCAGUAAUCACUGGGAACCAUCUUUUCAGCCUCAUCUACGUUCUUUCAGGACGUUUCAGGGUAACAGCAAUUCUGAAAAUGUUUCUACAUGACCUUGAAAGGAAAUUCUUUCUCACCAACUAAAUUAACUGCAAAACUUCCUCAUGAAGUCAUAGAUGAAAGGAUAUUUGAAUAAAUCUUACCCCUCUAGAAAACUGUAAUCCAUAACAUCUAGAUCAUUCAUUCACAAAGUGAAAAGAAGAUGGGAUUGCCUUCAGUAAAGCUAUAAAAAUGCACCCAGUAGAACUGCUCUUUAUAGAAAAAAAAAAAAAAAAAAGCUUGUUAUAUUAGGGACUUUCUGCUAACAUUUUUUUAGUUACAAGUGUCACACUCCUUUUAACUUUAUCUGUUGUAAAAAUCCAGAAUUUGUUCAAUAUUCUGAUUACUGUUUAACUAUAAUUCAGGUAAAAAAAAAUUUUUUUUGAUGGCCGCACUCAAGGAAUAUAGAA